AUUGAACGCUGGCGGCAUGCUUUACACAUGCAAGUCGAACGGUAACAGGCCUUCGGGUGCUGACGAGUGGCGAACGGGGGAGUAAUGCAUCGGAACGUGCCCAGAGGUGGGGGAUAACGCAGCGAAAGCUGUGCUAAUACCGCAUGUGAUCUGAGGAUGAAAGCGGGGGACCAGGCAGCAAUGUUUGGCCUCGCGCCUUUGGAGCGGCCGAUGUCAGAUUAGGUAGUUGGUGGGGUAAAGGCCCACCAAGCCGACGAUCUGUAGCUGGUCUGAGAGGACGACCAGCCACACUGGGACUGAGACACGGCCCAGACUCCUACGGGAGGCAGCAGUGGGGAAUUUUGGACAAUGGGCGCAAGCCUGAUCCAGCAAUGCCGCGUGCGGGAAGAAGGCCUUCGGGUUGUAAACCGCUUUUGUACGGAACGAAAAGGCUCUGGCUAAUACCUGGGGCUGAUGACGGUACCGUAAGAAUAAGCACCGGCUAACUACGUG
rnacentral:rRNA from 1 species